rnacentral:misc_RNA from 1 species
GAUGAAGAACGCAGCGAAAUGCGAUACGUAAUGUGAAUUGCAGAAUCCCGUGAACCAUCGAGUCUUUGAACGCAAGUUGCGCCCGAAGCCAUUAGGCCGAGGGCACGCCUGCCUGGGCGUCACACGUCGUUGCCCCCCCAUCUACUCCUUCGGGAUUGCGGGGGGCGGAUGAUGGCCUCCCGUGCGCCUCGUCGCGCGGUUGGCCUAAAUGCCAAGUCCUCGGCGACGCACGCCACGACAAUCGGUGGUUGCGAAACCUCGGUUGCCCGUCGUGUGCGGUCGUUGCGCAUCGAGGGCUCGAAAAAAUUGCCGGGCUUCGGCUCGACUUUCAACGCGACCCCAGGUCAGGCGGGGUUACCCGCUGAAUUUAAGCAUAUCAAUAAGCGGAGGA